AUGAACGCCGGCUCCUCUGCUUCCCCGUCGUCAACCUCGUACGACUCCAGCAGCACCCCCACGCUUCGGUUUUGUUCCGGAGUUGUGAGGAUUCGUUCGACUACGUUGGUUCGUCUACUUCAUGGACUCGUUCUUCUUCCUAGCGGGAUUUCAGGCAAGAUGACCGCUACCCUGGAUCUCACUACUAUCAUUGCUAUGCUAGUUGUUUCGUUCUAUCGCUAUGCUGCGGUACCUAUCACCUGUUUAUCAAGCCUCCCAUAUUGCCAUGAACCUCUAACCUUUGACACCCUUCCUAGCAAACCGUUGCUUGGCUAUGUUACCGCUUUGCUCAGCCCUCUUAUAGCAUUGCUAGUUGCAGGUGAAGUUGAAGAUUUCUCCAUGGUGCACAGGAUUUUGGUUGGGAUAUCACAAUAUCUCUUAUAUUAUUAA
rnacentral:rRNA from 1 species